GCUGUUGCAGCAGUGUGCAGGGACUCCGAUGGCCUUUUUCUGGGAUCUUCGGCGGUUGUUUACCGGGGAAUCACUGACCCGCUUAUCUUGGAAACUUAUGCUUGCAGAGAAGCGCUGUCACUUGCUGAGGAUCUUGCUCUUCAACACAUUAUGGUGGCAUCAGACUGUCAAGGUGUGGUGAAGGAAAUUUUGAACGGGACAGGAGGGCCUCAUGGAGCUAUCAUACAUGAAAUAAUGGAGCGUAGUGCUAGCUUUACUUCUUGUCGUUUUAGUCAUGAGCGUAGAAACUUUAAUUUUAAGGCGCUUAAUCUUACCAAAUUUUCCUGUAACUUAGGCUUGGGUAGACAUGUUUGGUUGGGUAACCCCCACGACCCAAACCGUGUACCUAUGAACAUUCUCUUGAAUCAAUAA
rnacentral:rRNA from 1 species